UCUGGUUGAUCCUGCCAGUAGUCAUAUGCUUGUCUCAAAGAUUAAGCCAUGCAUGUCUAAGUAUAAAUAGUAUACAGUGAAACUGCGAAUGGCUCAUUAAAACAGUUAUAGUUUAUUUGAUAAUUGACAAUUACAUGGAUAACCGUGGUAAUUCUAGAGCUAAUACAUGCUUAAACGCCCGACUUUAUGGAAGGGUGGUAUUUAUUAGACUGAAGCCAAUAUUCCUUGUGUCUAUUGCGGUGAUUCAUAAUAACUGAUCGAAUCUCUUUUUGAGAUAAAUCAUUCAAGUUUCUGCCCUAUCAGCUUUCGAUGGUAGUGUAUUGGACUACCAUGGCAGUAACGGGUAACGAAGAAUUAGGGUUCGAUUUCGGAGAGGGAGCAUGAGAAACGGCUACCACAUCUAAGGAAGGCAGCAGGCGCGUAAAUUACCCAAUCCUGACUCAGGGAGGUAGUGACAAGAAAUAGCAAACCGGGAACCUCAUGGUUUCACGGUAUUGCAAUGAGAACAAUUUAAAACCCUUAGCGAGAAUCAAGUGGAGGACAAGUCUGGUGCCAGCACCCGCGGUAAUUCCAGCUCCACUAGCGUAUAUUAAAGUUGUUGCAGUUAAAAAGCUCGUAGUUGAACCUCUGUCUGGGGCUAGUUUUGGCUUUGGUCAGGCUAGUUCUAGGCAUCCGCCUACAAGACUUAGAGGGCAUUCAGUUGUUCACUAGGAGGAGUAGGCAUUUUACUUUGAAAAAAUUAGAGUGUUUAAGGCAGGCAAUCGCCCGCAUAUAUUAGCAUGGAAUAAUAGAAUAGGACACUUUUCCAUUUCGUUGGUUAUUGGAAUCGUGUAAUGAUUAAUAGGGACAGUUGUGGGCAUUUGUAUUUAAUUGUCAGAGGUGAAAUUCUUGGAUUUAUUAAAGACAAACUAACGCGAAAGCAUUUGCCAAGGAUGUUUUCAUUAAUCAAGAACGAAAGUUAGGGGAUCAAAGACGAUCAGAUACCGUCCUAGUCUUAACUAUAAACUAUUCCGACUCAAUGUUUGACUGGCUUAUAUAACCAGUUGAGCGUUGUAUGAGAAAUCAAAGUCUUUAGGUUCUGGGGGGAGUAUGGUUGCAAAGCUGAAACUUAAAGGAAUUGACGGAAGAGCACAACCAGGAGUGGAUUCUGCGGCUUAAUUUGACUCAACACGGGGAAACUUACCAGGUUAAAACAAUAGUGGGAUUGACAGUUUGAGAGCGCUUUCUUGAUUGGUUGGGUGGUGGUGCAUGGCCGUUCUUAGUUGGUGGAGUGAUUUGUCUGCUUAAUUGCGUUAACGAACGAGACCUUAACCUGCUUACUAGACUGGCGAUCAUCAAUCGUUAGCUCUUCUUAGAGGGACUUUGG
rnacentral:rRNA from 1 species